rnacentral:rRNA from 1 species
GGUUAAGCGACUAAGCGUACACGGUGGAUGCCCUGGCAGUCAGAGGCGAUGAAGGACGUGCUAAUCUGCGAUAAGCGUCGGUAAGGUGAUAUGAACCGUUAUAACCGGCGAUUUCCGAAUGGGGAAACCCAGUGUGAUUCGUCACACUAUCAUUAACUGAAUCCAUAGGUUAAUGAGGCGAACCGGGGGAACUGAAACAUCUAAGUACCCCGAGGAAAAGAAAUCAACCGAGAUUCCCCCAGUAGCGGCGAGCGAACGGGGAGCAGCCCAGAGCCUGAAUCAGUGUGUGUAUUAGUGGAAGCGUCUGGAAAGGCGCGCGAUACAGGGUGACAGCCCCGUACACAAAAAUGCACAUAUUGUGAGCUCGAUGAGUAGGGCGGGACACGUGGUAUCCUGUCUGAAUAUGGGGGGACCAUCCUCCAAGGCUAAAUACUCCUGACUGACCGAUAGUGAACCAGUACCGUGAGGGAAAGGCGAAAAGAACCCCGGCGAGGGGAGUGAAAAAGAACCUGAAACCGUGUACGUACAAGCAGUGGGAGCACGCUUAGGCGUGUGACUGCGUACCUUUUGUAUAAUGGGUCAGCGACUUAUAUUCUGUAGCAAGGUUAACCGAAUAGGGGAGCCGAAGGGAAACCGAGUCUUAACUGGGCGUUAAGUUGCAGGGUAUAGACCCGAAACCCGGUGAUCUAGCCAUGGGCAGGUUGAAGGUUGGGUAACACUAACUGGAGGACCGAACCGACUAAUGUUGAAAAAUUAGCGGAUGACUUGUGGCUGGGGGUGAAAGGCCAAUCAAACCGGGAGAUAGCUGGUUCUCCCCGAAAGCUAUUUAGGUAGCGCCUCGUGAAUUCAUCUCCGGGGGUAGAGCACUGUUUCGGCAAGGGGGUCAUCCCGACUUACCAACCCGAUGCAAACUGCGAAUACCGGAGAAUGUUAUCACGGGAGACACACGGCGGGUGCUAACGUCCGUCGUGAAGAGGGAAACAACCCAGACCGCCAGCUAAGGUCCCAAAGUCAUGGUUAAGUGGGAAACGAUGUGGGAAGGCCCAGACAGCCAGGAUGUUGGCUUAGAAGCAGCCAUCAUUUAAAGAAAGCGUAAUAGCUCACUGGUCGAGUCGGCCUGCGCGGAAGAUGUAACGGGGCUAAACCAUGCACCGAAGCUGCGGCAGCGACGCUGAUGCGUUGUUGGGUAGGGGAGCGUUCUGUAAGCCUGCGAAGGUGUGCUGUGAGGCAUGCUGGAGGUAUAAGAAGUGCGAAUGCUGACAUAAGUAACGAUAAAGCGGGUGAAAAGCCCGCUCGCCGGAAGACCAAGGGUUCCUGUCCAACGUUAAUCGGGGCAGGGUGAGUCGACCCCUAAGGCGAGGCCGAAAGGCGUAGUCGAUGGGAAACAGGUUAAUAUUCCUGUACUUGGUGUUACUGCGAAGGGGGGACGGAGAAGGCUAUGUUGGCCGGGCGACGGUUGUCCCGGUUUAAGCGUGUAGGCUGGUUUUCCAGGCAAAUCCGGAAAAUCAAGGCUGAGGCGUGAUGACGAGGCACUACGGUGCUGAAGCAACAAAUGCCCUGCUUCCAGGAAAAGCCUCUAAGCAUCAGGUAACAUCAAAUCGUACCCCAAACCGACACAGGUGGUCAGGUAGAGAAUACCAAGGCGCUUGAGAGAACUCGGGUGAAGGAACUAGGCAAAAUGGUGCCGUAACUUCGGGAGAAGGCACGCUGAUAUGUAGGUGAGGUCCCUCGCGGAUGGAGCUGAAAUCAGUCGAAGAUACCAGCUGGCUGCAACUGUUUAUUAAAAACACAGCACUGUGCAAACACGAAAGUGGACGUAUACGGUGUGACGCCUGCCCGGUGUCGGAAGGUUAAUUGAUGGGGUUAGCGCAAGCGAAGCUCUUGAUCGAAGCCCCGGUAAACGGCGGCCGUAACUAUAACGGUCCUAAGGUAGCGAAAUUCCUUGUCGGGUAAGUUCCGACCUGCACGAAUGGCGUAAUGAUGGCCAGGCUGUCUCCACCCGAGACUCAGUGAAAUUGAACUCGCUGUGAAGAUGCAGUGUACCCGCGGCAAGACGGAAAGACCCCGUGAACCUUUACUAUAGCUUGACACUGAACAUUGAGCCUUGAUGUGUAGGAUAGGUGGGAGGCUUGGAAGUGUGGACGCCAGUCUGCAUGGAGCCGACCUUGAAAUACCACCCUUUAAUGUUUGAUGUUCUAACGUUGACCCGUAAUCCGGGUUGCGGACAGUGUCUGGUGGGUAGUUUGACUGGGGCGGUCUCCUCCUAAAGAGUAACGGAGGAGCACGAAGGUUGGCUAAUCCUGGUCGGACAUCAGGAGGUUAGUGCAAUGGCAUAAGCCAGCUUGACUGCGAGCGUGACGGCGCGAGCAGGUGCGAAAGCAGGUCAUAGUGAUCCGGUGGUUCUGAAUGGAAGGGCCAUCGCUCAACGGAUAAAAGGUACUCCGGGGAUAACAGGCUGAUACCGCCCAAGAGUUCAUAUCGACGGCGGUGUUUGGCACCUCGAUGUCGGCUCAUCACAUCCUGGGGCUGAAGUAGGUCCCAAGGGUAUGGCUGUUCGCCAUUUAAAGUGGUACGCGAGCUGGGUUUAGAACGUCGUGAGACAGUUCGGUCCCUAUCUGCCGUGGGCGCUGGAGAACUGAGGGGGGCUGCUCCUAGUACGAGAGGACCGGAGUGGACGCAUCACUGGUGUUCGGGUUGUCAUGCCAAUGGCACUGCCCGGUAGCUAAAUGCGGAAGAGAUAAGUGCUGAAAGCAUCUAAGCACGAAACUUGCCCCGAGAUGAGUUCUCCCUGACCCUUUAAGGGUCCUGAAGGAACGUUGAAGACGACGACGUUGAUAGGCCGGGUGUGUAAGCGCAGCGAUGCGUUGAGCUAACCGGUACUAAUGAACCGUGAGGCUUAACCUU